GACGAACGCUGGCGGCGUGCUUAACACAUGCAAGUCGAACGGAAAGGCCCUGCUUUUGUGGGGUGCUCGAGUGGCGAACGGGUGAGUAACACGUGAGUAACCUGCCCUUGACUUUGGGAUAACUUCAGGAAACUGGGGCUAAUACCGGAUAGGAGCUCCUGCUGCAUGGUGGGGGUUGGAAAGUUUCGGCGGUUGGGGAUGGACUCGCGGCUUAUCAGCUUGUUGGUGAGGUAGUGGCUUACCAAGGCUUUGACGGGUACCCGGCCUGAGAGGGUGACCGGCCACAUUGGGACUGAGAUACGGCCGAGACUACUACGGGAGGCAGCAGUGGGGAAUAUUGCACAAUGGGCGGAAGCCUGAUGCAGCAACGCCGCGUGCGGGAUGACGGCCUUCGGGUUGUAAACCGCUUUCGCCUGUGACGAAGCGUGAGUGACGGUAAUGGGUAAAGAAGCACCGGCUAACUACGUG
rnacentral:rRNA from 1 species